rnacentral:rRNA from 1 species
GACAGAGGGGGCAAGCGUUGCUCGGAAUCACUGGGCGUAAAGGGUUCGUAGGUGGCCAACUCAGUCAGACGUGAAAUCCCUCAGCUCAACUGGGGAACUGCGUCUGAUACUAGAUGGCUCGAGUGCAGGAGAGGAACGCGGAAUUCCAGGUGUAGCGGUGAAAUGCGUAGAUAUCUGGAGGAACACCGGUGGCGAAGGCGGCGUUCUGGACUGCAACUGACACUGAGGAACGAAAGCCAGGGGAGCAAACGGG